rnacentral:rRNA from 1 species
UACGUAGGUGGCAAGCGUUACUCGGAAUCACUGGGCAUAAAGGGCGUGUAGGCGGAUGCGUAAGUCCGGUGUGAAAUCCCUCGGCUCAAACGAGGAAGUGCAUUGGAUACUGCGUAUCUUGAGUGCGGAAGGGGAGAAUGGAACUCUUGGUGGAGCGGUGAAAUGCGUAGAUAUCAAGAGGAACGCCGGUGGCGAAAGCGGUUCUCUGGUCCGUAACUGACGCUGAGGCGCGAAAGCUAGGGGAG